AAGUAGAUGCUAACUGAGGAGCUGGUGCCAGCUGCAACACUUUAAGUGCUGUCUGCAUCCAGAUACUGUCCUCUCUUUGGGGCUGCCUGCGAUACUGAAUUAAUGUCACAUCUCUGCCGUGAAGAAAUGAAGAGGAUAUGACAGAGAUCAAAAUUAAAUUCUCCUCGGAGUAGCCCAGAAGGAUGGAUAACUGCAAGGAAAGAUUAAUCCAUGGCUCUGGAAAAGGAAGAUCUACUUGCUUAGUAACCUAGUGAUGAGAUACUGGCUCUGCUUCAUGCAGAGGCUGGACGCCAGGGGAGAUUUUGGGUUGCAAAGAGUUUGCCGCCCUCUCCGCUCCUUUCCUGUAUCACUGUCAACUUAGAUUUCACAUCUAGAGGGUGAU